UACGUAGGGUGCAAGCGUUGUCCGGAAUUAUUGGGCGUAAAGAGCUCGUAGGCGGUCUGUCGCGUCGGCUGUGAAAACCCGGGGCUCAACCCCGGGCCUGCAGUCGAUACGGGCAGACUAGAGUGCGGUAGGGGAGACUGGAAUUCCUGGUGUAGCGGUGAAAUGCGUAGAGAUCAUGAGGAAGACCAGUGGCGAAGGCGGGUCUCUGGACAGUUCCGUGACACUGAGACACGAAGGCCAGGGGAGCAAACGGG
rnacentral:rRNA from 1 species